CGUAGGGUGCGAGCGUUAAUCGGAAUUACUGGGCGUAAAGCGUGCGCAGGCGGUUCUGAAAGUCAGCUGUGAAAGCCCCGGGCUUAACCUGGGAAUUGCGGUUGAAACUACAGGGCUAGAAUCUGGCAGAGGGGGGUGGAAUUCCACGUGUAGCAGUGAAAUGCGUAGAGAUGUGGAGGAACACCGAUGGCGAAGGCAGCCCCCUGGGCUGAGAUUGACGCUCAGGCACGAAAGCGUGGGGAGCAAACAGGAUUAGAUACCCUGGUAGUCCACGCCCUAAACGAUGUCAACUAGGUGUUGGGAGCGCAAGUUCUCAGUACCGCAGCUAACGCGUGAAGUUGACCGCCUGGGGAGUACGGUCGCAAGAUUA
rnacentral:rRNA from 1 species